AGGUAACUAUUCACCAGGAUACGAAAAAAAAAUGAUCCCUGUGCUUUCUGCCUGUUUUUGUGGCAGCCCAGAUUGAAUUGGAGAAUGCAUUG
rnacentral:snoRNA from 1 species